GGUUCGGGUUAGUCCAUUAGACCCUGACAACCUGUACCCGGACCCUCUCGCCUCCUAUGGCCUGUGCCUCCCUAGUCCCCAGUCCCCACGGAGGCCGCCGGCAAUCCGGCAUGCCUCUCGCGGCCGUUGCCGCGCACCUCCACGUUCGGCGUAGCGCUGGGGGUGCGGCUGCUCGACGCCCUCUCCCAAGCCCCUGGCGGCCUCCACAGGGCGCUCGCCACCGCCUCCUCCACGCCGCGUCGCCCGCGGUCGUGGCCUGUGCUCGCUGUCCUCAAGUCCAUCUACACGCUCUCCAAUAACACGUACGUCCAACGAUCGUCGAGGGCUUCCUCGGCCUCCAGGUGCACAAGGGGUUCAGGAACGGGAUCGACGCGCUCGGGGUGGUCGUCAAGGUCGCCGUCAUCGUCUCUGAGAUAUAUGUCGAGGCGGUUCUUCAUCCAGUGCGUGCAACUAUGUUCGUGUACGAAUAGACAAGUGUGGUUCAAGAAACUGUACAUCAAUUUAUAGAGUGUUUGGUUUGAGGAAUGAUGUAGUCCAUCAUCUUCUCACACUUCACUUUUUUGUUUGGUUUGUGAAAUGGAGUGAGUUAAUCCAUCACCACCUCAUUCCUCAAAGUUAGUUGUUUAGUACUAAUAUGUGGAAUAGAGUCAUCCCACCAAAUUUGAGGAAUGAACCUAUUAUGCACCACUUCAUUUUGGAUAGAGUGAUUCAUCAAACCAAACACCUCAUUAAGGAUCCAAUCGUAUUGAUUUCAUCGAUCAAAUCUUUUUUGCCAGAGUAAAUUCUGACAUGGAAUUCUGAGUGUUGUUUUCUAGAUUGCCAUCCAGUCGGAGUUCCAAUUCUGUAGAAUGCUGGUUUGGGUGAAGCAUAGUUUGUAAAUUUGACCACUCAUUGUAGCUUAGCUGUAAUGGAGAUUUGCAACCUGGUACAUUGCCUACUUACCCCGUAGCGUCAAACCUUUUAGUUCAUUAAGAUUUUACUCUUUGCCGUAAUGCAACUGUGGAUACAUUACUCUCUAUAGAUCUGUAGUUUGUUCUUGGAUAACUCAAAUUAAACAGAAAAUCAACAGAAUUGGAUAUCUGGAAUUUCAUGGGCCUAUGAUUUAUCAGCAAGAUCAUUAACCUUACUAAACUCAAAGAGUAUAAUGUUGAACAUUUUUGCUAUGCUUAUUCAUAUUGUUCUUGUUAGUUCCAACUCUUGAUCCUUCUGCACAUAAGGGCACAGGCUAAAAAGGCCCAAUAUAUUAAGUUUACUUAUUACUGUGCUCUGUUGCCAUGUUUUUUGAUUCUCUGAUGUACCAUUGCUACAUUCUAUCCUUGAAAUUCUCUGAUGAGCAGAUCAAAUCUAGACUCUGCUACGAAGAAAUACUUAAGAGAUCCUCAGAACUUUUAUUUCUAUAGAUGACAUAGUUAUAUACACAAAUGACUCUUCUGGAGACUCACUACCACAUUCACUUGUGACAAUGGUAAACAAGUGACAGCAGAUUGACACAUACAUUAAAUCUACAUUAGUUGAACUAAAUUCUUGAGCUUCUAAUGAUGUAAGUUUAUUUUAAUGGAAAUAAAAAAACUGUGCUCGACGUCGCACAACUUCAAAUAAGACAUUGGGUCUUAGUUUUUGUGUGGUUGAGACUUGAGAAUCAUAUCCAUGAUUCAAUGGUGGAUUUAUACUUGUAGUUGUAGGGAUUUAAUCCAUUUAGUUGCGCAAGAAUGUCAGAUGUGUCCAGCAUGUCCUCUUCUUUCAUAUGGUCCUGAAAAAAAGGUAAGAGAUCUUGUUAACUAUGCAUAGAAGUAUUCCAGGUUCUUGUUUAAAAACAAUGAGAAUGCAUAAGAAGAAUCAUGUUUUUUUUUAUUCCAGGUUCUCGUUUGAUAAGACUGUGUAUAGUUCAAUUGAAAACUUACAGUUUGUUCAUAAUGUUCAUGACUCUGGGAGCCUGAUUGCGCUGCUUCACAGAGUUCAUCAUUCUUGGCAAACCUUCCACGGACACGGGGCCUGCUAUCCGCCAAGGUUUUUCUACAUGCGUACUGCAUUUCGUUGUAUGUCAGGCUGUCAGCACAGCUGAAUACGUAAGAUGUCCAUGCGGAGGCGACAAGCGGACGACCUUAAACGUGGAGUCUUCCAGUACUGAUAGUUCCGUCGGAGGUAACGUUGCUGGGUUCCCGUUGCAUCCGUUUAUCAGCCUGGAAGAACUGCUCCAGUUUGCUGAUACAUGGCUCCAUCCAGACCCAUGAACCCUCCAGCUGCUACGGCUGCCAUGAAGCACUCAUCAUAGUCUGUAGCGAGCGGCAUCAAGGCAGAUGCACUGCUGCUCAUCUGCACUGGAGGAGGCACCUGCUCGUCUAAGGUCUCUGGAAGUCCCAUCUGGUCGAACUGCCCUAUGCUGGCCUCAUCGGUGGCAGUUGGAUAGUAUGCUGCUACCUCUGAUAGGCCAUCGAUCUGCGGGAGGAACCCGGCGUCAAGGCCAUGGUGCUGCUCUUCCUCCAGGAGGGCUGUGAGAGUGGUGUCGAAGGAUGUCAACGGGGUGUAGGCUGUGGCUCCACCAGCAGCUGCGGUGUCUUCACUGUAGCCGCAGAUAGGAGGGGUGGUAGCGGUAGACGAAGAAACAUCAUCGUCAGUGGCAGGGAAUGGGCCAGAGGUGGCAGUCACCGCGGCAAAGAGGUCAUCGCCCAGGCCGUCGCCGUAGUAGAAGUCGAGUAUAUGUGCAGCUAUGGGGCUUGAAAUUUCCUCCUGCAAAUUUCAGAGCGGGACAAGACAUGCAAGCACCUGUUGUCCUAGGAAACGUAACGGAUCGGACUUGUUGCCAUUUUAAUUACAACUCCACAUGGGCAUCGGCAUGCGUUGAUGCAUAUAUAGGCACGAUGCAAGAAACGCGGCAGCAAAAGGAUGUCGAGAAGGAAACGAAUGAAAUCGCUCGGUUGGGUUUCAUAAAAACAUCAUCAUCCCAGAAAGUAGGAAGAGGCGAGCAAAAAACCGUGUUGGGUCAGAGAAGCAAAAUUACAGCGACGAUGUGGCAGCAAUCAUCGGGAAGCAUGGCGGGCACCAACGAUCUUCAGCGCAUGGAGAUGAUCAGAUUGGCGCGCGGCGCAGCUUCUCGGGUAAAAAAAAUCUCUCCAACAUAUUACAUUGAUCCUUGAGAAGAGAAAUGGUUCUACUCUGUGGUUAUAUAAUGGGAGAAGAGAGGGGGGGCAUGUGUGCGAGCAAGGUGGGCCGAAAAUAAGCCUGUUUUGGCCAUGCAGAUGCACAUGCAUGACUUCCUCUCUCUGUUUUUUUUUUUGGCCAAGAUGACAACACCGAGGAGCAAGGAAGCUAGUCAGCUCCCAGAAGUUUCUCUGCUACAAUUGCGGUCGGGAGAGAGACUGCUUAUUCCGGCCUGGGAAGAAGUCCUGAAAGAAUUCGGUCACUCCUCGGACCCCGAUGAACGGGGACGUCUUAGCUGGCUGCCCUUGCUACUGUAGAAGAUCUCUUAAUUUGCUGAUAAGCUGGAAAAAAUAUAGUUAUGGCAGGGUUGGACACAUUAUCAAGCUAGGGCGGGAGGGAGACGACUUACAAUGCACAAGGCAUCUGGGAUGGCCAUGGCGGCUGCGUCCUCCUCGAACAACAUCAUCAUUAUUUGUAUACGAUGGUACCAGAGCCGCUCGAUCAAUAAUGGAGGCUGGGGGAGAGUGGAGGGUUGAUGGUGUCCCCCAUGGAGAACGCAUGAGCUCGAUACUUAUAUAUGCGGAAGGGAGAACAAGAACAACUGCACGGGCAUCUUUUUUUUUAUUUUUAUGUUUUUCUCUCCCUAACCUUUUGCUAUAAUUGGGUGGUGCCGUUGGUGAGACGAACCGAGCCGACAAACAACAGCCUAGCCUGGUGGCGCUCGAUGGAGUUUUUGGCGUUUACUACUCAUAUAUGGUGCAUAUAUUCAUGCGUGAGAGUACGCAAGUAGCUAGGUAGAUGUGACUGUUGGAUUA